UCAGAGCUUGCUCUGAUGAAAGUGGCGCACGGGUGAGUAACGCGUGGAUAACCUGCCCUGGUAUCUGGGAUAACAUCUCGAAAGGGGUGCUAAUACCGGAUAAGCCCACGGGACCUUCGGGUUCUGCGGGAAAAGGAGGCCUCUAUUUAUAAGCUUCCGUACCAUGAUGGGUCCGCGUACCAUUAGCUAGUUGGUGGGGUAAUGGCCUACCAAGGCGACGAUGGUUAGCUGGUYUGAGAGGAUGAUCAKCCACMCYGGAACUGAGACACGGUCCAGACUCCUACAGGAGGCAGCAGUGGGGAAUUUUGCGCAAUGGGGGAAACCCYGACGCAGCAACGCCGCGUGAGUGAUGAAGGCUUUCGGGUCGUAAAGCUCUGUCAGAGGGGAAGAAAUGGGUCGUGCUAAUAUCGCGACUUCUUGACGGUACCCUCAAAGGAAGCACCGGMKAACUCCGUGCCAGCAGCCGCGGUAAUAC
rnacentral:rRNA from 1 species